rnacentral:lncRNA from 1 species
GUACCACCGUACCUUGUGUGCAGUACAUCCACUAAUUUCAGGUAAUCAAAAUAAACUAGGGCCCCCCACUACAAUGCCUUUCACAGCUUCAGUAGCUGUUGUGUUGCUUUGGGACAUGAAUCCCCACAAAUCAAUCAUAGCAUCUUGAUAGGUUGUUCAAGUAGACUAACAUGCAAAACAGGAUUCAAUUUUUGGGGGGACUCACACAUGCAACAGUGGGACUGAUAAUUCCGUCAAAAUGUUUAGCUUCAAGAGAAAGGGGGCUGCGACUGAGGAACUGUUCAACAUGUAUUUCUUUUGGGAGUCGUAUCAGUUUCAGUGCGUGCCAUCCAGCACAACCAGCAGAGGCAGACAUGAGAAAUGAAAUGUGUUGAUUGCACGCACUCCCUCAACAUUAUUUUUGCUUCACUUAGCUGUUGAGUGCAUUGUCAGCCCUGGCAGCAGGGGUAUAACUUUGGCAAAUACCUGCUGCUUGCUGUAAGUAGAAAUAUCACUAGGUGGUAUGUCGCACGAGAGUCAAAGUAUCACUACAAAAAUAUCGAUAGUGAGUACAUCUACUGCUGAGUGCCUGUCAGCUAUGUUCUUCUGUAUUCAGGCUUUCAGGCCAUAUAAAUGAAUGCAAAAGCUUCUUUGAUGUUGCCAUGCUUGAAAUGAGCAGCCCUUGUAUGAAUGCCCUGUACAUACCGACCUGCUGGUUUUGCUUCCAGUGCCAGCAGCUCCUCUCCGAGUCCUUGCUCGCACAUUUCACGUUUCUGAUCAGAGGAGAGAACAGUCUUCCAUGGGUGUGUGUGCGCAGGUCGGUUUUAUGCGCACACAGCGAGAUGUAGUAACCUCUGAAGUUUGCAUCUGAGUGAUGCAUCCAAAGGCCUCCAUGCAUGUAUGUGUGUGUCUGUGUGUGUAUCAAAGUUAAUGCCCUUCAUUACGUGGUUUUUAUUUUGUACUUCAUUCUGUGCAGUUGGGUCUGCAUGCUUGCUGUGCAUUCAUGCUAUAUCAAAGUGUCUCUAUGUGUCCUUGUUUCAUCAGCAGCCAAUCAAUUUUGCAGACACCAAGGGCGAGGUUAGUAUAUACGCAGUCAUGUCAAUGUCUUAGGGAAAACAGAAAGCAUGCGUCAAUGGUAGUCGCAUGUUAUCGUGCUUGCAUCGUUUUUGAGAUGCACUAAAGUUAGCUGUGUUUGAAGGGAGCGCAGCUGCUCAGCCAUUUUGCAUUCCAGCCAUUAGGGCACACCUUGAAUCUAAGCUGUAGCAAGCAUUAAAAUAGGAACCAUGAUCUGCCAAGAUUUCUGUAGUAUCUCGAGCAGCAUGUGUAAGUAAAAUUAGCACGACCAAGCUUGGUUAGGUAUUGUUACAUGCUGUAUAAAUUCACAAUUCCUAAAUAGUCUUGUUGUUGAAGGAGCACAUUUGAAAUGCAACAAUUAUUGCGUUAGAAACUUGUCUUUACCUCACUCUUAAAUGGCUGAUGUGAUUUCUUGUGACAGGCUCUUUAAUGUUAUUAUCUAACUCUCAUAAGACUUCAGGACAUCAUACUCAAAUGCGUGGACUCUAUAUGUAAUGGUUAAUCAUAAUUCUAUCUGGAGGACAGCGAAAAAAUGCAUUGCUGUCAUGAUAUAGUCUGCCAGAAAUAUUAUGUGUUUAGAUUUCUUGUAAGGUAGCCACUUAUACUUGUUUGGUUUUGUCACUAUGAGGCAACACUUCUUUCAAUAUCAAUCUUUUAAUGUCAAGUAUAACAACUGAGCUGUGUUACAUUCGGUAAAUGCACACGUAUUCCUUUUUUUGCCAAGUUUGCAGCUUUAUUGUUGUUUUAUCAUUAUGACACCAACACUGUUUUGCUGCAUGCUGUAUAGCAGGAGCUUCAAGCUUACCGCCUGCAUGCAUUUUUUUUUUAUCUUUGAAGAUGUCUCUCCAGGAGCAAUUUCCUGCUGUAAAUACUUUUUAGUCUGCAGCUGCAUUCAAUGUGGGGUACAUCUGGCAGGUCAUGAACUCAAAAAUCUUAGGCACAAUGACAGCUGCCAGCUGGCUUUACUACACUUUUUUUUAUGGACAUUGUAAACAUUUUUUGUGGAAUUGAGCUUGAAUCUAUUGCCGUACAGCUUGCCUGAGCAAGAAUGUCUGUUUGCCUUACAAGCCUUUAUUCUCAUGACACUUCUUUUCUUGCUAUCAAGAGACGGUCUAGGUUUUAUCUGAAAAGAGAGUGGAGAAGAGGAAGAAAGGUUACUGAUUUAUGGUUGGGGUCCAGCAUUUGCAUCCUGUCUUCUGAAUAUUUUGCCCAGCUUUUUUUUUAAUUCUGUAUGGCAAGGCAACUCAUGGUGCUGUGCUGCCGAGCUCGAGGUCGUGGGUUCUAUCCCGGCCGCAGUAGCCACAUUUCAAUUGGGCCUGAGCAAAAUUCCAAAACACUCGUGCACACUAAAAAAAAAACCACAGGUUGUCAAUCUUAAUCCAGUUCCUCACUGCAGCAUGCCUCAUAAUCAGAUCAUGGUUUUGGCACAUAAUACCCUAUAUUUAAUUUUCUUUUAUUCCUUCUUCUCAACAGCCUGCUUCCUCAUCUUCAUCCUUUGAUAGAGCUUAAUGUACAAUCACAAAGACAUCUCAUUUGCCUCUUGGAGUGAACUGCACAUCAGUAUUGUUUUAACCUCUAGCAUAUGAUUUUGUUGGCAUUGUUUGUAUUGAUAAUGUUAGCGAGCAAGCCUUUUUGUUGUUUUUAAUAUGUCCAUAUCUUGUUGCCUUUUUUUUGUUUUGUUAUCACACUGUUUACAUUUCUUGCUUCUGUCUUGCACAGGGUUGAUAAAUAACCAAAUCGUACUUUUACCGUUAUUACAUGAGACGUGUGUACAUCUUUUGAAGCGGUUUGCACUUUUGCAGUUCUGCACUUGGAUAGGGUACUGGUACUUUUUGAGUCUGCAGCAACUCCCCCAUUUCGUAGUCCUAGACACAGAAGGAACCUUUUUUUCAGAACUUGCUGUUGUGUGAAAAUGCACACCAUUGUGCGCUUAGUAUUUGUGCUUACUAGACUGUCUCUGGGCUGUGACAGGAAACUGCAUUGUUGUUGUUGUUUUGUUUGUUUUUUUCAUUUUAUUGCAUCAUCUAUAAUAAGAAAGCUCGAGUUACAAAAUGAUGUUGGUGCAGUAAUAUUCUGGCAUGACUAGAUGGGUAUGACUUUUCUUCCCCCUAAUGUUGCAUGAUUACAGGCAGUUUAUAACUACACGUAAUAGCUAGACAUACAUCGCCUUCUCAGAAUAGAGGAUGACAUUUCUAUUCUCCGUGCCCUUUAUUUUCUGCCUUUUCACCCUUCAUGAUAGUAUUUCCUUUUAUGCUUUUCUGUUGGUGUGCUUGUUAUGUAACCAGUAGAACAUGAUAAGAUUUAAAUGAAAGAGAAGCAUAUCAAAGCUCUUACAUGAGGCGAUGUUGGCUGCAUUAUCUUUUGUUUACAUGCCAUGUUUACUAGCAUUUGCCUGUAAGAAAAAGCACCAGAGGAGCUGCUGACUAGUGUUCUAAUAUUGUUGCCUCACUUUGUGAGUAUUCGGGAUCAGGACCUUGCAUAUCACAUCUCAUCAUUUUGCCUUCAAAUGUAUCAACGAACAAGAACAUGUUACGCCCUUGCAGCAUUGGGAUUCUUUUAUAAAUGUGCAUGUGUCGAAGUGUUCAGAUCACGGCUGUUUCAUGUGCUUCGAAGACUUCUGAAUGUACUAGAGAUACAGAAUGUUAACAGUGAGUUGAUAACACCCCAGUGUGGGGCACCUGUAAAAUGUUUGUUUUUCAGUUUGUUUGUGGCUCUUGUAAAUAUGCUUGUGUUUCAGCUAUGUAAGUACAUGCAUACUGUGGUCUAAAUUUUAGCAAUUUCAUUUGCCUUUCUUGGCAUUAAAUUAAUUUUUGCACAGUGUGUUUGUCGUCUGUUGAGAUUUCUGUUUAUUACUAGUGCCAUUUCCUCUUGCGCUAUAUGAAAUAGUCUUAUUUUAAAGCUUGUUAUUAACCUGGCUCUCUGUGAGUAAACAAAUUGUUGGAAUCGCAUCAAAGCCAUGUACUCAGGGUCAUAUCACAUAUGUCAGAUGCUUUUCAAGCAAGCCAUUUCCUUUUGCCCCUUCCUUUUUCCCUUUUUGUUUUUUGUUUUGUUGAGAUUGUUCUAAGCAUUUCUGUCUCACAUGGAGCUCUUUCUUGCUAUGGCAAGUUCAUUGUCAUUCACACUGUUCCUGAUACGAAGGCAUCAUGUUCACAAGUGACUUUCCCAUACUCUCGUUCUUGUGCACAUUAUUAUUAGUGAGCAUAGGAAUUGCAUGGCCGCAUUGUUUUACAUUAUUUUGCUCAUUAAAAUUUACAUUAAAGCUAGCAUUCACAUUUUCUACCACCACGCUGAUUGUGGUGCUUGGCUUGUACCGCUCUUUUGUCCAUGUAGUCUGCAUUCUUUCCAUUAGAUUACGGUUGUGGUUGCGGACAGUAAAUAUGCUGUUUUUAUUGAUUGUUUUCUAUUUAUAGCCAUAUUUAUUUUCGCUCGAAGGUGUUGUUCUUACAUUUGUGGUGGUAUUUCUCUCCGAUGUAAACUCUUGUGGGGGCCCCAGUGCUUGAAGAUAUUAAUGCACAGUUUUUUGUGACAAGUCACAGGAGACCAAGACAUCUCAAAGUGUGUGUGUGUGUGUGUGUUAGUAUAUUUGCUGUAAGGUUUGAGCUCAGGGGUAAGCAUAUUUGUAGACAUUUAUACUGCCAAUCCUAUUGUAGACAAAAUGCCUUGGGAUUGCAGAGAAUUUCUGCCUGCUGCAUAUUUGUGCUACAAAACUGCUUGUCAGACAUCAUUAGUAUUGAAGAUAUGAUCCAUUUAAGGACAAACAGAUUCAGAGUGUUUAUCUCGUUGUAUAGUUGCAGUGAGAUGCAAAACAGAAAUGUUUCACAAUUAAUUUCGCUGUAAGAAGUACUCUUUACAGACCAGAGCAGCUUCUUCUGUGUGUGUGUGUGUGUGUGUUUUUUGUUACCCUCUGUUGAAGAUGCGGGAAAUACAGUCUGUUGUAUUCACUGUUCCACUCAGUGCCAUUCGUCGAGUUCGUGAAAUUGAAACGUCACAUGCUCUUCCUGUGUGCUUGAUUCCCUGUUGCGUUCAAACAGCUGCAUGUAUGCUAAUGUUGUUAUGUGUUUCUUCAUUGGGAAUUGGCUUUCAUGGAAUAAUUUCACAAAUACUUGUCACUGGAAAAAUUAAAAAGCAAAUCAUACCAUUAUAGCGCAGUGCUUUAGCUCCUAAUUUGUCCUGUAGUAACACAUACUGUUUGGGGCUUUCAAGAUUUUUACCUAUUGGCCUAUUUAUCACUGCUUACUGCUUGAAAGGCACUUUUGGCACCCAUAAGAAAUGUAAUGAAAGUGUCGAAGUUGGUGAAAUUUCUAAGGUGUCAGCACCAUUGUAUAGAUGUCUGCUUUAUUUUUUCCCUUCCUAAGUGUGUUUAAGUGGUUUGGUAAUGUUGCUUUUUCUUUUUUUCUUGUGCAUCCUUAGCCAGAACCCCGUGUAAGCUAGCUAGUGGAGCUUCGGAAAUUCAUAACUAGAACAAAUGCUCAGCAUUUGGUCCUUCAGUUGUGCUUACUUUUGAUGGUGGUCAUGUAUUUAAAAGUGACUGCUUACACUGGUCCGAGACUAUGGCAGGUUGUUUUAGAAAACUAAGGAGGUUUUUGUUAAACUUUGCUGGACAGAUGUGUCUAUGGAUAUUUCGGGAAAUAAAUGGUUGUGGAAAA